AUAUUGGACAAUGGGGGAAACCCUGAUCCAGCCAUCACGCGUGUAUGAUGAAGGCGUUCUGCUUGUAAAGUACUUCUGGCAGAGAAGACGAGGUAACUCCUAGUACGAGGUACUGCUGACGGUAUCUGCAGAAUACGCACCGGCGCACUACGUCCCAGCAGCCGCGGUAAUACGUAGGGUGCAAGCGUUAAUCGGAAUUACGGGGCGUAAAGGGUGUGUAGGCGGUUAGGCAAGAAAGAUGUGAAAUCUCAGGGCUCAACCUUGGAACUGCAUUUGUAACUGCCGAGCUAGAGUACGGCAGAGGGGGGUAGAAUUCCACGUGUAGCAGUGAAAUGCGUAGAUAUGUGGAGGAAGACCGAUGGCGAAGGCAGCCCCCUGGGAUAAUACUGACGCUCAGACACGAAAGCGUGGGGAGCAAACA
rnacentral:rRNA from 1 species